rnacentral:lncRNA from 1 species
UAGUAUUCGCCUUGUCCACUUGAUACUUUAGAUCAAGGGCCUCCCACAAUUGUUUCGCGGUUUCAUGAACCUUGAAAACACGGUAGAACCGUUCGUCCAGAGACAUGAGAAUGGUGUUACGACACAAGUAGUCGCCGCGACACCAGUUCAAAUAUCCGGCACGAAUUUCUUGGCUUGUCUCCCCUUCCUUUUCACUCGGGGUUGGAGGUUUAUCCUCCAUUAAGAAUCCGGCAAACCCCACGGUUGUGAGGUAGAAUAGCAUCUUCUCUUGCCAAUAUUUGAAGUUCUUGCCUGAGAAUGUUGAUGGUUUCUCGGCAAGACCAAUAGUUCU